GAUGAACGCUGGCGGCGUGCCUAAUACAUGCAAGUCGAGCGAACAGACGAGGAGCUUGCUCCUCUGACGUUAUCGGCGGACGGGUGAGUAACACGUGGAUAACCUACCUAUAAGACUGGGAUAACUUCGGGAAACCGGAGCUAAUACCGGAUAAUAUAUUGAACCGCAUUGUUCAAUAGUGAAAGACGGUUUUGCUGUCACUUAUAGAUGGAUCCGCGCCGCAUUAGCUAGUUGGUAAGGUAACGGCUUACCAAGGCAACGAUGCGUAGCCGACCUGAGAGGGUGAUCGGCCACACUGGAACUGAGACACGGUCCAGACGCCUACGGGAGGCAGCAGUAGGGAAUCUUCCGCAAUGGGCGAAAGCCUGACGGAGCAACGCCGCGUGAGUGAUGAAGGUCUUCGGAUCGUAAAACUCUGUUAUUAGGGAAGAACAAAUGUGUAAGUAACUAUGCACGUCUUGACGGUACCUAAUCAGAAAGCCACGGCUAACUACGUG
rnacentral:rRNA from 1 species